rnacentral:rRNA from 1 species
CAAUGGGGGCAACCCUGAUCUAGCCAUGCCGCGUGUGUGAUGAAGGCCCUAGGGUCGUAAAGCACUUUCGCCAGAGAUGAUAAUGACAGUAUCUGGUAAAGAAACCCCGGCUAACUCCGUGCCAGCAGCCGCGGUAAUACGGAGGGGGUUAGCGUUGUUCGGAAUUACUGGGCGUAAAGCGCACGUAGGCGGAUUAGUAAGUUAGAGGUGAAAUCCCAGGGCUCAACCCUGGAACUGCCUUUAAUACUGCUAGUCUUGAGUUCGAGAGAGGUAAGUGGAAUUCCGAGUGUAGAGGUGAAAUUCGUAGAUAUUCGGAGGAACACCAGUGGCGAAGGCGGCUUACUGGCUCGAUACUGACGCUGAGGUGCGAAAGUGUGGGGAGCAAACAGGAUUAGAUACCCUGGUAGUCCACACCGUAAACGAUGAAUGCCAGACGUCAGCAAGUAUACUUGUUGGUGUCACACCUAACGGAUUAAGCAUUCCGCCUGGGGAGUACGGUCGCAAGAUUA